UACGUAGGUGGCAAGCGUUGUCCGGAAUUACUGGGCGUAAAGCGCGCGUAGGCGGAUCGCUAAGUCAGGGGUGAAAUCCCAGGGCUCAACCCUGGAACUGCCUUUGAUACUGACGAUCUGGAGAUCGGGAGAGGUUGGUGGAAUUCCGAGUGUAGAGGUGAAAUUCGUAGAUAUUCGCAAGAACACCAGUGGCGAAGGCGGCUCACUGGCCCGAUACUGACGCUCAUGCACGAAAGCGUGGGGAGCAAACAGG
rnacentral:rRNA from 1 species